UACAGAGGUGGCAAGCGUUGUUCGGAAUUACUGGGCGUAAAGGGCGCGUAGGCGGCCACCGCAAGUCGACUGUGAAAUCUCCGGGCUUAACCCGGAAAGGUCAGCCGAUACUGCGGGGCUAGAGUGCAGAAGGGGCAACUGGAAUUCUCGGUGUAGCGGUGAAAUGCGUAGAUAUCGAGAGGAACACCUGCGGCGAAGGCGGGUUGCUGGGCUGACACUGACGCUGAGGCGCGAAAGCUAGGGGAGCAAACAGG
rnacentral:rRNA from 1 species